GUGAGGAAUAUUGGUCAAUGGAGGCAACUCUGAACCAGCCAUGCCGCGUGCAGGAAGACGGUCCUAUGGAUUGUAAACUGCUUUUAUUUAGGAAUAAACCCCCGGUCGUGCACCGGGGCUGAAUGUACUAAAAGAAUAAGCACCGGCUAACUCCAUGCCAGCAGCCGCGGUAAUACGGAGGGUGCAAGCGUUAUCCGGAAUCAUUGGGUUUAAAGGGUCCGCAGGCGGGUAAAUAAGUCAGAGGUGAAAUCCGGCAGCUCAACUGUCGCAUUGCCUUUGAUACUGUUUAUCUUGAAUUUUAGUGGAGUGGGCGGAAUAUGUCAUGUAGCGGUGAAAUGCUUAGAUAUGACGUGGAACACCGAUAGCGAAGGCAGCUCACUAACUAUGAAUUGACGCUCAUGGACGAAAGCGUGGGUAGCAAACAGGAUUAGAAACCCUUGUAGUCC
rnacentral:rRNA from 1 species